AUGAACGCUAGCUACAGGCUUAACACAUGCAAGUCGAGGGGCAGCAUGAACUUAGCUUGCUAAGUUUGAUGGCGACCGGCGCACGGGUGAGUAACACGUAUCCAACCUGCCGAUGACUCGGGGAUAGCCUUUCGAAAGAAAGAUUAAUACCCGAUGGCAUAGUUCUUCCGCAUGGUAGAACUAUUAAAGAAUUUCGGUCAUCGAUGGGGAUGCGUUCCAUUAGGUUGUUGGCGGGGUAACGGCCCACCAAGCCUUCGAUGGAUAGGGGUUCUGAGAGGAAGGUCCCCCACAUUGGAACUGAGACACGGUCCAAACUCCUACGGGAGGCAGCAGUGAGGAAUAUUGGUCAAUGGACGAGAGUCUGAACCAGCCAAGUAGCGUGAAGGAUGACUGCCCUAUGGGUUGUAAACUUCUUUUAUACGGGAAUAAAGUGAGGCACGUGUGCCUUUUUGUAUGUACCGUAUGAAUAAGGAUCGGCUAACUCCGUGCCAGCAGCCGCGGUAAUACGGAGGAUCCGAGCGUUAUCCGGAUUUAUUGGGUUUAAAGGGAGCGUAGGCGGACGCUUAAGUCAGUUGUGAAAGUUUGCGGCUCAACCGUAAAAUUGCAGUUGAUACUGGGUGUCUUGAGUACAGUAGAGGCAGGCGGAAUUCGUGGUGUAGCGGUGAAAUGCUUAGAUAUCACGAAGAACUCCGAUUGCGAAGGCAGCCUGCUGGACUGUAACUGACGCUGAUGCUCGAAAGUGUGGGUAUCAAACAGGAUUAGAUACCCUGGUAGUCCACACAGUAAACGAUGAAUACUCGCUGUUUGCGAUAUACAGUAAGCGGCCAAGCGAAAGCGUUAAGUAUUCCACCUGGGGAGUACGCCGGCAACGGUGAAACUCAAAGGAAUUGACGGGGGCCCGCACAAGCGGAGGAACAUGUGGUUUAAUUCGAUGAUACGCGAGGAACCUUACCCGGGCUUGAAUUGCAACUGAAUGAUGUGGAGACAUGUCAGCCGCAAGGCAGUUGUGAAGGUGCUGCAUGGUUGUCGUCAGCUCGUGCCGUGAGGUGUCGGCUUAAGUGCCAUAACGAGCGCAACCCUUAUCGAUAGUUACCAUCAGGUUAUGCUGGGGACUCUGUCGAGACUGCCGUCGUAAGAUGUGAGGAAGGUGGGGAUGACGUCAAAUCAGCACGGCCCUUACGUCCGGGGCUACACACGUGUUACAAUGGGGGGUACAGAAGGCAGCUACACGGCGACGUGAUGCUAAUCCCGAAAGCCUCUCUCAGUUCGGAUUGGAGUCUGCAACCCGACUCCAUGAAGCUGGAUUCGCUAGUAAUCGCGCAUCAGCCACGGCGCGGUGAAUACGUUCCCGGGCCUUGUACACACCGCCCGUCAAGCCAUGAAAGCCGGGGGCGCCUGAAGUCCGUGACCGCGAGGGUCGGCCUAGGGUGAAACCGGUGAUUGGGGCU
rnacentral:rRNA from 1 species